rnacentral:lncRNA from 1 species
GGAAGAUACUUGAAUCACAGGACUGAAUAAGGAAGAGCUGCCCUCAGCGUGGCCGGGCAACAUCUAAUCGGCUGAAAGCUUGGAUCGAAUGAAAAGGCAGAGGAAAGGUGAAUUUUCUUUUUAUCCUGGAGCUGGACACCCUGUUUCUCCUGCCUGUGGACAUCAGAAUUCUAGGCUCUGUGGCAUUUCAACUGUAAAACUUGCACUAGUAGCCAGCUGGUUUCUCAAGUCGUUGGCUUCAAAACUGAGAAGUACAGCAUUCUCUUCCCAGGUUCUGAAGACCUCAAAUGGACUGAGCCACACUACCAGCAUCCAGCAUCCAUGGUUCUCCAGUCUGCAGAUGGCCUAUUAUGGGACUUUUCAGUCUUCAUAAUUAUAUGAGAGAAAGAAAAUGAAAAGGAUUUGUAAACUAUAAAUCUCUAAACAGAUGGGAGGAAAGGAAUUGAUGAAACAAUAAAUUUAUUGAUGAAACAAUAAAAAUAAACAUAAAGAACCAAAGUUAUUCUCACAAUCACCACUCCUAACUUUUGAUGCUCCUGUCCAGAAAACUGAGCAAAAGAGUGGCUGAAGAAUAGGAAUGAUGAAGAGAAGAAGUAAAAACACCUGAUUGAGUUAAAGGAGCUGUGGAAUAAAAAAAACAAAAACAAAAACAAAACAAAAAAACAGGCUAAGCUAGGAAGGGAAAGGCAUUUUACCCGCUCUCUCAGCGAGUCAGCCUAAAUACCGUGAGGUGAAGGGUCAGAACACUGGGAAGUGCAGUUUCUGACGAAGAAGGAGCAGCUGCAGAGAAAGGAGUCCAUCUAGGGCCAUUUCCAUCAUGAAGAGAAUGUGGCCAAAACAUGGGGCAGAGAAUCAGGAACCCAGGUGAUGCCUCAUAUGGUGUCUUCCUUGGUGUUUGAAUUAUUUAACACAAGCUGCCUCACCCACCUUACAAUGUAAGUAGGAUUAAACAGAGCUGGCCAGAGCACUGAAGGGAUACCUAACUGCCCAGGGGAAAGGUGAUGCACAGAGGGGCCUUGGGAUUGAGAGCUAUUAAGUAGCAGUUCCAGAAAGGUCUGUUCCAAGAAAUGCCACAGCUUGUAUUAAAAACUCCCUCCUUGUUCCCUG